rnacentral:rRNA from 1 species
UACGGAGGGUGCAAGCGUUGUUCGGAAUCACUGGGCGUAAAGCGCGUGUAGGCGGGCUCCUAAGUCUGGUGUGAAAGCCCGGGGCUUACCCCCGGAAGUGCACUGGAUACUGGGAGACUGGAGUACCGGAGAGGAUGGUGGAAUUCCUGGUGUAGCGGUGAAAUGCGUAGAUAUCAGGAAGAACACCGGUGGCGAAGGCGGCCCUCUGGACGGAUACUGACGCUGAGACGCGAAAGCGUGGGGAGCAAACAGG